rnacentral:rRNA from 1 species
UCGAGAAUCUUCGGCAAUGGGCGCAAGCCUGACCGAGCGACGCCGCGUGCGGGAUGAAGGCCCUUGGGUUGUAAACCGCUGUCAGAGGGGAGGAAAGCGCAAGCUUGACCGAGCCUCAGAGGAAGCGCGGGCUAAGUUCGUGCCAGCAGCCGCGGUAAUACGAACUGCGCGAACGUUAUUCGGAAUCACUGGGCUUACAGGGUGCGUAGGCGGCCGACCAGGUCAGGUGUGAAAUCCCACGGCUCAACCGUGGAACUGCGCUUGAAACCGGAUGGCUUGAGUGAGCUAGGGGUGCACGGAACUUCCAGUGGAGCGGUGAAAUGUGUUGAUAUUGGAAGGAACACCAGAAGCGAAAGCGGUGCACUGGGGCUUGUCUGACGCUGAGGCACGAAAGCCAGGGUAGCGAACGGGAUUAGAUACCCCUGUAGUCC